UAAACUGAACCGAAGCUCCCUCGGCCCAGACCCUGCACGAUGCUGUAUCGCUUAGCAACCAGAAGCUGUCCGGACUCAGCCUCCUGAUACCUGGGCAUCCUGUCUGCUCACCUGUGGACAGAGACGUUCAGGCUCCGCUCCGCAUGAACAACUUCCGUGUUUGACCACGUUUCCAUGGAGACCGAGGACACACCCCUGAGCUCCACAGUGAACUGCUGAAGAAGACGAAAGUAAAGGCGGGAAGUAGCAUUUAGAGAAGUGUAUUAUUGUUUUAUCAUUAUUGUUGUCAUCGAACUAACGCGGCUUUGAACGUUCAUUGCUGUUCAUUAUUUCUAUUGUAACCGAGGCGAUCCAGCAGGUGGCGCUCUGCCAUCGCUCCAGAACCUCCUGAGUAAACACCAAUGGAACUAAUCACAACAGUCAAUUUAUUAAUUCUACUAAUUAUCUAAUAAUCUAAGGGGAGGAUUCCCCUUUGUUGUUAAAGCACAACGUUACCAAACAACAGUGAAAUUGUGUAUUAUCUACAAACACCAGCUUGGUUCUGUGCAAUCGUGCUGACCCUUCAGUCACCUGACGUGGUUCUGAAAUGUUGGGUCAUUGCUUAUCAGCCACAGACGAUGAAGCCUGCUCCGGGUCACAAUCAUUUCCAUCAGAACCAGCUCCAUGCUGCAGAUCCACGGAACACAAACCCAUGGGUUUGCAUGGGUUCCUGUUGGAGUCCAACUGUGAAAACUGUAACCAGCUCCGCGUUCAGCUGAU